UGGCUCAGUUGGUAGAGAGUGGUGUUUGCAACGCCAGGGUUGUGGGUUCGAUUCCCAC
rnacentral:tRNA from 1 species